UACGUAGGGCGCAAGCGUUGUCCGGAAUUAUUGGGCGUAAAGAGCUCGUAGGCGGCUUGUCACGUCGAUUGUGAAAGCCCGAGGCUUAACCUCGGGUCUGCAGUCGAUACGGGCUAGCUAGAGUGUGGUAGGGGAGAUCGGAAUUCCUGGUGUAGCGGUGAAAUGCGCAGAUAUCGGGAGGAACACCGGUGGCGAAGGCGGUUCUCUGGGCCUGUACUGACGCUGAGGAGCGAAAGCGUGGGGAGCGAACAGG
rnacentral:rRNA from 1 species